GUAUGAAUAGGUAGUACCGUAUGUGUCUUGUGUAUAAGAAGAUACCCAAGAAACCCCUUGUUAUAAUUCCACACUGGACAGUGAGCAAGAGGUGUAUAAUUACAAACAAUAUGUGUGUAUUAGAAGGUAGUAAGAUACCCAUGCUAUACCUCGCCAGUGAGCACGAGAUGUAUAAGUACACCAUAAAGAUGUUGUAACUUAGCAAUUAAACAAAACUUCCGCAAGCACACACACAACGAAAUGAGAUAUGAAUAAAUUUGCGUUACCGCAAUCAUUUCUAGAAAAUCAUGUCAAUUAUCCUGUGCAGACAGUUUUCCGCUAAAAACUGCUUGAAACUCGUGUUUAAAAAGUCUACAAUGCCUUGAAUAUGCAUUAACAACUAUGGACAAGAAACUGAUGCUAGUAUUGGCACUUCUCUGCUACAUGCAGCUCACUGAUGGGUGUACCUACUGUCAGCAAGGAACUGGGAGACGCAGGGUAAGACGAAGAAGGGCACAUACUGGUGACAUGGAAAGUCCGAUGACUGAACAGCUCAAGGAUGAAGUCAUAAAUGAAAUGCUCCUUGUAAUGAAUGACGCAUUAUAAGAACCGCAUUAAUUGCUCAAUAAAAUGCAAGUUAAACAA